GAUCAUGGCUCAGAUUGAACGCUGGCGGCAUGCCUUACACAUGCAAGUCGAACGGCAGCACGGGUGCUUGCACCUGGUGGCGAGUGGCGAACGGGUGAGUAAUACAUCGGAACGUACCUUAUCGUGGGGGAUAACGCAGCGAAAGCUGUGCUAAUACCGCAUACGCCCUGAGGGGGAAAGCGGGGGAUCGAAAGACCUCGCGCGAUUAGAGCGGCCGAUGCCUGAUUAGCUUGUUGGUGGGGUAAAAGCCCACCAAGGCGACGAUCAGUAGCUGGUCUGAGAGGACGAUCAGACACACUGGAACUGAGACACGGUCCAGACUCCUACGGGAGGCAGCAGUGGGGAAUUUUCCGCAAUGGGCGAAAGCCUGACGGAGCAAUACCGCGUGAGGGAAGAAUGCCUAUGGGUUGUAAACCUCUUUUUUCAGGGAGGAAUAAAAUGACGUGUACCUGAAGAAUAAGCAUCAGCUAACUCCGUG
rnacentral:rRNA from 1 species